UCAGAAUUUAGUUAAGAAAAUAAUAUCAGUCUGUCUAACUGAAGUCACAAGUAAUAUUGUAAUUCUGAA
rnacentral:tRNA from 1 species